AGAGAACCGGCGGAGAUCAGUUUCAGCUUCGGAGAAGACAAGAUGAAUACCGAUAUUACAGCGUCGACCAAGCCAGAGUACCCAGUAAUAGAUCGGAACCCUCCAUUCACUAAAGUCGUCGGCAAUUUCGACACUCUCGAUUACCUCCGUUUCGUCACCAUCACCGGCGUUUCCGUCACCGUCGGUUAUCUUUCCGGGAUUAAGCCCGGGAUUAGGGGCCCGUCAAUGGUCACCGGUGGUCUAAUUGGUCUGAUGGGAGGCUUCAUGUACGCUUAUCAGAACUCGGCGGGUCGGCUUAUGGGAUUCUUCCCCAAUGAAGGCGAGGUAGCUCGUUAUAAGAAAUAAGAUCGUGCGUUUUAGGGUUUUUUUCUUUUUUCCCUUUUUCUUUUUCGCUUUCUUUUUCUGAAAUUUGGGUUCCAUUUGUGGACAUUUUUACGAUUUUCCAG
rnacentral:misc_RNA from 1 species